GGCGGAUGUAACCGAGUGGACCAAGGCAGU
rnacentral:tRNA from 1 species